UCCACAGUAGCUCAGUGGUAGAGCUAUCGGCUGUUAACCGAUCGGUCGUAGGUUCGAGUCCUACCUGUGGA
rnacentral:tRNA from 2 species